rnacentral:rRNA from 1 species
CCCGUCGGCUCAUGAUCAUGCUAGUCGAGCGACGGACGAGAAGCUUGCUUCUCUGAUGUUAGCGGCGGACGGGUGAGUAACACGUGGAUAACCUACCUAUAAGACUGGGAUAACUUCGGGAAACCGGAGCUAAUACCGGAUAAUAUUUUGAACCGCAUGGUUCAAAAGUGAAAGACGGUCUUGCUGUCACUUAUAGAUGGAUCCGCGCUGCAUUAGCUAGUUGGUAAGGUAACGGCUUACCAAGGCAACGAUGCAUAGCCGACCUGAGAGGGUGAUCGGCCACACUGGAACUGAGACACGGUCCAGACUCCUACGGGAGGCAGCAGUAGGGAAUCUUCCGCAAUGGGCGAAAGCCUGACGGAGCAACGCCGCGUGAGUGAUGAAGGUCUUCGGAUCGUAAAACUCUGUUAUUAGGGAAGAACAUAUGUGUAAGUAACUGUGCACAUCUUGACGGUACCUAAUCAGAAAGCCACGGCUAACUACGUGCCAGCAGCCGCGGUAAUACGUAGGUGGCAAGCGUUAUCCGGAAUUAUUGGGCGUAAAGCGCGCGUAGGGCGGUUUUUUUAAGUCUGAUGUGAAAGCCCCACGGCU